rnacentral:rRNA from 1 species
AUUGAACGCUGGCGGCGUGCUUAACACAUGCAAGUCGAGCGGCAGCGCGGUAGCAAUACUGGCGGCGAGCGGCGAACGGGUGAGUAAUGCUUCGGAAUCUGCCCAGUAGUGGGGAAUAACCAGUCGAAAGACUGGCUAAUACCGCAUACGACCUGAGGGUGAAAGCGGGGGAUCGCAAGACCUCGCGCUAUUGGAUGAGCCGAAGUCGGAUUAGCUAGUUGGUAGGGUAACGGCCUACCAAGGCGACAAUCCGUAGCUGGUCUGAGAGGACGACCAGCCACACUGGGACUGAGACACGGCCCAGACUCCUACGGGAGGCUG